AGCAUCAUGCACCCAUCGGUUGAAUGUGACCUGCAUCUAUUUCUCAUUAGCUAGUUUUGUCUAAUAACUGAUAACGUUAAUCGUCUUACAUCGGCACUAAAUAACAAGCAGAAGACAAAUUCAGGCUUCAGCUUGUUUUGAGGCUGUGCAUCCUCACGAUCCCCGGCCAACAUCAUCAACAAGUGGUCAGUGUCCACUGCAGCAAGCUGUGCACAACCUCACUCCUGUUACAGGAACAGUGCUGCCUGCAACAGCAUCCAGCAUCACCUGUUUGGGUCAGCGAUGGUCUGGGGAGGCAUAUCCUUGGAGGGCUUCAGAGACCUCCAUGUGCUAGCCAACGGUACCCUGGCUGCUGUUAGGUACCAGGAUGAAAUCCUCAGAGCCAUUGUCAGACCUUUCGCGGGUGCAGUGGUCCUGUGUUCCUCCUGGUUGUAGGACAAUGCCCGGCCACACUACUGAGUCACAUUAUGAGUUGCCGUGAAGAAAGUCAUGCACGUUGGGUCAGCCUAUGAUUAAACUUUUUGAUUGAC